rnacentral:tRNA from 1 species
GCCCCAGUCGCUUAACGGUAAAGCCCCUGAUUCCAAAUCAGGCGCCGGCAGUUCGAUUCUGUCCUGGGGUGCCA